rnacentral:rRNA from 1 species
CUACGGGUUGCUCCAGUGGGGAAUAUUGCACAAUGGAGGAAACUCUGAUGCAGCAACGCCGCGUGGAGGAUGACGCAUUUCGGUGUGUAAACUCCUUUUAUAUGUCAAGAAAAUGACGGUAGCAUAUGAAUAAGCACCGGCUAACUCCGUGCCAGCAGCCGCGGUAAUACGGAGGGUGCAAGCGUUACUCGGAAUCACUGGGCGUAAAGGACGCGUAGGCGGGUUGGAAAGUCAGGUGUGAAAUCCUACAGCUUAACUGUAGAACUGCACUUGAAACUUCUAAUCUAGAGGAUGGGAGGGGGAGAUGGAAUUAGUGGUGUAGGGGUAAAAUCCGUAGAUAUCACUAGGAAUACCUAAAGCGAAGGCGAUCUCCUGGAACAUUACUGACGCUAAGGCGUGAAAGCGUGGGGAGCAAACAGGAUUAGAUACCCUUGUAGUC